AGCUCCAAUAGCGUAUAUUAAAGUUGUUGCAGUUAAAAAGCUCGUAGUUGGAAGUUGGGCACGGCCGGGCGGUCCACCUUUGGGUGCGUACUGCUCAGCGGCGUUCGCGUCGCGAGGCUGAGCCUUGGCCGCGUCCUCGUGCGCAGCAAUGCGUGCGCGGGACCGGCAGUUACCUUGAAAAAAUUAGAGUGUUCAAAGCAGGCGUUUCCGCCAGAAUAGAUUAGCAUGGAAUAACGGAAUAGGACCUUGGUCUUGUUUUGCUGGUUCUCAGGACCACGGUAAUGAUCAACAGGGACAGUUGGGGGCACUCGUAUUUCAUUGCUAGAGGUGAAAUUCUUGGAUUUAUGAACGACGAACUUUUGCGAAAGCAUCUGCCAAGGAUGUUCUCA
rnacentral:rRNA from 1 species